GGGUUCGUUCAGGUUAAGGCGGUGGGGGGGUUCGUUCAGGUUAAGGCAGUGGGGGGGUAUAAAGUGGGGCAUGAGGCACUCCCUCACAUGCAAGAUCAACUAGAGAACCUGGAAUUGUGUUUUCACUUGCAUCUGAAAGUAGCCCUAUGUUCUGUUGUCGCUACAGUUAUAUGGCUUUUCUUUGCUUCUGUUCAAGAGUUUCGUUUUGGUAUCGAUAUGGAGGAGUGCAGGAAGGUGAGGGUUCUGUUCCACGUGAACAUGAAGACGGGCUGUGGACACCAUGGACCAGGUGACACGUCCAAGGACCAGGUGACACGUCCAAGGACCAGGUGACACGUCCAAGGACCAGGUGACACGUCCAAGGACCAGGUGACAGGUCCAAGGACAAGGUGACACGUCCAAGGACCAGGUGACACGUCCAAGGACCAGGUGACAGGUCCAAGGACCUGCUGACAGGUCGAUGGUGUUCUGCGGCACCAAACAGCGGCGGGCGGCUCCAGGUCCAGCAUGAUAGCAAACAGGAACUCCAGCAAUAAAUUGGAUAUUCACUCAUACGUACAAGAUGCAAUAAUACACAAGUCAUUUGUUAAAAAUAAGCUCCAAGGGUUAAAUGGGUAAAAGGCUAUUGUAUUAAUUUAUAUAAUGUGUCAAAGUCACUUGAGAAUGAAUUCAACAAUCAGAAUUCAAAUGAAGAGGAAUAACCCUAAAACAAAAAGAUACAACAAAAAUAUAGAAUGAGAAAAGAAAUAUAUAUAUAUAUAAAAAAACGGAUUAUAUAUAUAUAUAUAUAUAUAUAUAUAUAUAUAUAUAUAUAUAUAUAUAAAGAUUAGAUAAAAUGUCUGAUAGAAAUCUACAAACCCCAGACAGUGGAAAUAUUAAUUUCCACCUGAAAUAGACAUAAGGGCCCAGGCUUAUUAAAGGGUCAAAUAAAGAGGAUUACAUGGGGCUUCUAAAAUCAAUUAUUCUCCCCCUCUCUUGCCAAGAUAAAUAGGAUAUAAAACAUAGAUACAUCUAGCAUAUGUCCUUUACGGAUAUCCAGAGAAGGUGAAAAUAGGACUAAAUUCAUGUGGAGGAUUUGUUAAAACACAAGGUCUCGUCCGUGGAGGUCGUCUCAGUUCAUCAUCCUGGUUUUGAAGGCAGGAAAUUCACUCUCCUCUUCUGACCAGUGGCUACCUGUAGGAAUAAUGAGGAUACACUAAGAAAUAGGGUUAGGGUUAGCGUUAACCCUAACCCUCUUCUGACCAGUGGCUACCUGUAGGAAUAAUGAGGAUACACUAAGAAUAGAGAAUAAGGAGAUACAUACAUAGAGAGGUGGGGGAGAGACCGGGGAAGGGAGGCACGAGAAGCAGAGCGAUGGAGAGGGACAGGAAGGGAGAGAGACGACGGGAAGCAGAGCGAUGGAGAGGGACAGGAAGGGAGGAGAGAGACAGGAAGGGAGGAGAGAG
ensembl:lncRNA